GGCUCCAGGCACUCCCUCCACUAUUACAAUGGGCAAUCCCUGCCACCCUGUCCUCAUCAGCUCUUGCCCUUCAGUAUUUUGCCACGCUGCUUUUUCGGCAAGAAAACGAACGUAUUGGACUCAUGGGCUUUCACUCACGAGAUAUCCAAAUUGCAGUCAGGUGUGGUGGGUGGCACAGAAGCACUGCUGCGUCUGCGGCCAGAGCGGGGCCACCAUCCUGUGCUGCAAGGAAGGCUGCAACAGAUGGUUCCACCUGCCCUGUGCCAAGGAGGGCGGCUGUGUUACACAGUACAUUGCCCCAUACAGGUAGCUCCUCUCCCCUUCUGGCCACCCCCAGGGAAGGGCCCAGCAGUUCUCAUUUUUCCCAUCCCUUUGCCCCCAGGUCCUAGUGCCCUGAGCACCGCCCAGAGCAGGACUUGUUUGAUGUGCUUGAGGCGGCAGUCUCAAUUGUAGUUGUAGUAGUAGCUCCAGUUGUAGUAGUAGUGUAGCAGUUGUUGUUAGCAGCCUCAGGACAUUUCUAGAUGUGCUGGGCCUGACCACAGAGAAACAGCUCCUUCCAGCAAAGCUGAACACUGAAUCCACCUGUCCUGUCAAGGAGUUGCCGGCACAGCAACUCCUUGACACUGUCAGGGACAAUCCUGAGACGCAGCCGCUCCCAGCAGUGACGUUGGGCCUCAACUCAGACCUGGCAAAGGAGCACGUAGCAUUAUCUUUUCUUUCUAGUGCGUUUGCUGCCAUUAGGGAAGGUGAGCAAGGUCAAUACAGGCAAAGAUUUGAGAUUUGCAGGUCUCUGGGAAAACCGUGUUAGCUCUUGCUGUUCCUAUUGGCAGAAAAGAAAUCUCUGCUUAAUACAUUGAUUUCUAUGUCCCCGUGUGAGACAGUCAUUAAGUGAGUCAUUAUUAAGUGAGAAGUCAUUUAAUGAUGCAGCUAAUUAAAAAGAACAUUUGUUCCUGCCUUUUAGACUCCAACCACAAAUGUUUCCCCACUGCUUACCUGUCUUGGUUUGAGACAAGUUAGGAGGAAAUAUCCUGAAAGGAGCAUCUCUAAAGAAGGCAGACUUUGGCAUGGCCUCCCCCCACCAAACAAAAGGAAUUUCCUGGAGCAAAGGGAAAAAAACCUGUUUAUUUAACAAGCAGAGUGCACGCAGGCACGGGGGAAAAUGAAUGGAUACUGUUAAGUAAUACACCUUCUGGCUGCAGAGAAAGCUGGCAGAUUUUAGAGUCUUGCUUGGCUCCUCCCAAGGUCCAGAGCUGGGAUUUGGUGUCCUGUGGCCUCCCAUGCCUGGACUGCAGCGUGGGGCUCCCAGUGAUGGUCUGGUAUCUCAAACUGGAGCAAAGCUGAACAGUUACAGAAGGAGCCACAGAAAUUAUCAGAGAAGCUGUAUGCAGUCCUGAGCAACUUCUUGCCUCAGCUGGCAAAACUGAAGCUAGCUACAAGCAAGAAUUUAACUCCCCCUAUCUCUGCUGGGAAAGAAUCAAUGCUGAGAGUGGAGGAGAACCUGUGUUUGAACAGACAGCCAAAAGAACACCCCUGGUUUCCCCCCAUCCCCUGGGCCUAGCAUAAAGGACCCAUGUCUGGGCAUAGAGCAGAUGACAGGGGAGACAGUGUCAUACAGUCAACCUAGACAUUGCCCUUGAAAGGUAACCACUCCUUCAUGGGCCUGGAUACUUUUAGGGAAACAUGAAAAGCAAGGCAGUGCUUAGGGAAGCUGUGUUUUUUCAAUAUAUUUGCUAGAAGGAAAACAUGGACCAAACUAGCAACGUUCCUUUACUGUGGGAAAAACAUCCUCCUGGUUUGGACUACCGAGACAAGGACGGUUGAAACCUCUCCAGUCAGAUGUACACAGAAAACUCCCAAGGAAUUCUGUGGGUUUCCGCUGAGUCAGUGUAAAAGAUGAUGUUUCUCGGGAGCUUAAUACUAAUACUUAAUACUAAAUUUUUAAUACAAAAUGUCAAAGUUAUUAGAUUAUUAGAUGACAGGCGAAUUGCAGUUGGGAGGCAACUGACGUGGUCCCCAGCUUUAUCUCCUGUUCCCAACAGUGAUCAGCACGGGCAUGAAAUCAGGUUCAUCUCAGUUUAUUGCCAAGAGGUCUAGAGGAAAAUGUCGGUGCACCAAGAGCAGGUUUGGAAUCUGUGCAGUGCAAGAGACUCUGCACAAGCUCUCUGGGCAACCGACUGCCAGGGGCAGGAGCCCUGGGGUGGCCGUGCCUGAACAGCACCUUUGUGCCUACAGUGCCACCCUCGAUGGCUGCCCUGGAGCCUGGGAUUGGACCCUGCACUUGCUGCAGGAGUCUCUGGCCUGGUUCCGUGCUGACCAAAGGCUUGGAACCAUGUCAGAACCUCGGUUGCCAAGGGGGUGGCCUCAAGUGGCUACCGGGCAUGUGAGGCCAUGGCUGCGUGAAUCUUGGGAGCAAGAUGCUGAUGUCAGAGUGGCCAUUGUGACGCGUGCGACCAAAGCCCCAAAAGGGAAGGCUGGGCUCAGGCCGUGUGUCAGUGCGACCUGGCAACGGGAGGAGAAGAAUCAGCGCAGGAAUAUCCAGAGGAGACGGCGGUGUUCCUCAGCGCGACGACGGGAGCAGAAGGCGGACAGGAGCAGGGCUCACGCAGGGCUGACCAGGGAGUAGCACCCUCGUAGCUCUGGGCCUGUUCUCCAAACUCCCAUCACUUUUCUUCCUCCCACAGAGAGAGGACCAGCACCUGGCGGAGACAGCGGCGUUCCUGGACAGGGACUCAGCGCUGACAGCCGCCAUGUGCGACAGGGAGCAGGAGGGCUCUGAUGGCAGAGAGCAAGGUGAGGGCAAAGCAGCCCCUCUCACAGCCUGGCCCAGGGGCUGUCGGGGUGGCCAGCGUGGGGCCCAGAGCAGAGGCCAAAGGAGGCAGG